CAGUAGCCACGGUAUACGGAGGGGGCUAGCGUUGUUCGGAAUUACUGGGCGUAAAGCGUGCGCAGGCGGUUUUGUAAGACAGGCGUGAAAUCCCCGGGCUCAACCUGGGAAUGGCGCUUGUGACUGCAAAGCUAGAGUGCGGCAGAGGAGAGUGGAAUUCCACGUGUAGCGGUGAGAUGCGUAGAGAUGUGGAGGAACACCAGUGGCGAAGGCGACUCUCUGGUCUGUAACUGACGCUGAGGAGCGAAAGCGUGGGGGGCGAACAGGAUUAGAUACCCCUGUAGUCCCUGUCUCUUAUACC
rnacentral:rRNA from 1 species